rnacentral:rRNA from 1 species
ACUCCUACGGGAGGCAGCAGUGGGGAAUUUUGCGCAAUGGGGGAAACCCUGACGCAGCAAUGCCGCGUGGAGGAUGAAGUCCUUUGGGAUGUAAACUCCUUUCGAUCGGGAAGAUUAUGACGGUACCGGAAGAAGAAGCCCCGACUAACUCUGUGCCAGCAGCCGCGGUAAUACGAAGGGGGCUAGCGUUGUUCGGAAUUACUGGGCGUAAAGGGCGCGUAGGCGGCUUCGCUAGUCGGGCGUGAAAUGCCUGGGCUUAACCCGGGAAUUGCGCUCGAUACUUCGAGGCUAGAGUGUGGGAGAGGUUGGUGGAAUUCCCAGUGUAGAGGUGAAAUUCGUAGAUAUUGGGAAGAACACCGGUGGCGAAGGCGGCUCUCUGGACCACAACUGACGCUGAGGCGCGAGAGCUAGGGGAGCAAACAGGAUUAGAUACCCUGGUAGUCCUAGCCUUAAACGAUGAACACUUGGUAUAGCGGGUAUCGAAUCCCGCCGUGCCGGAGCUAACGCGUUAAGUAUCCCGCCUGGGGAGUACGGUCGCAAGGCUGAAACUUAAAGGAAUUGACG